GCCUUUUUCUUAUUGGUUGGGUACACAAUGUGAGCAACUGCUAUGGUUGUUAGAGGAGAUAAGGGACAACCUGGUGAUAGAAGUGACUCUUGUAACUGGAGGUUGCAGGUGUAUGACUAAUCUCAAUUGGGAAGAACAAUGAUGACAUCCAUUUGCGCUGUAUUUAUAUUCUUGUGGCUGCACCUGGAUUUGGUGAAUGGAGAGAAUGUGGAGCAGCGUCCUUCUACUCUGAGUGUCCAGGUGGGAGACAGCUCUGUUAUCAACUGUACUUAUUCAGACAGUGCCUCAAACUACUUCCCUUGGUAUAAGCAAGAACUUGGAAAAGGACCUCGGCUCAUUAUAGACAUUCGUUCAAAUGCGGACAAAAGGAAAGACGGAAGAAUGACUGUUUUAUUGAAUAAGGCAGCCAAACAUUUCUCCCUGCACAUCACAGACACCCAACCUGGAGACUCAGCUCUCUACUUCUGCGCAGCUGGUGCACAUUGCUUCCCAGGCACCUGCUACCCGUACUGAAACCUGAGACUGGAGCUGAAGCUGCAAUCCCUUUCCUUUGUCAUAAACCUUCAAGUAUAGCAUUUGUCAUACUGUUUGUUUGCAAGUGAAACUAACAUAUUGACAUUAAAAGCAUAUAAAAAAAGGUUAGUUAGGUUCAAGGUAACCUGGAAAGGCUUAGAACAUUUCGUUGACUGUUGCUUAACGAAUUCUUUUUUCUAACAUUUAUAUUAUUGUAUAUGUUUAAGGUAUGCAACAUGAUGUUUUGACAUACAUAUACAUAGUAAAAAAUGAACAGCCAGAUGAAGAGAUGCAUAUGGCAAGGUGUAGGGGAGGGAAUCCCGAGCUUCCAUGUCUUCUGUGGCUGUGCCUCCUCCCAGGCACCUCUAUGUGCUCAUUCAGUGAUCAGGAGGCUCUGCUCAGUAGAUUCUUAAAAGGAAUUAUUUUAAAAUCUAGGCUUUAAAGAUGAGUUUACAUUUUCCUAUAAAUUUGGACUCCUCUGCUAUAAAUAACCCCUUAAUAUCAAUAUCAUAAUCCCUGUUAUGAAUGUGCUUUUCACUCUUGUCAUUUGAAAAUUGUAUUUUUUUUCUGAUUGUAAAACAUUAUAUGCCAAAUACAGAAAAUAUGUAAAAGGCCGG